CCUGCAACGGGGACGGCACGGCCUUACCGGGACUCGGCGGGCGAGUCGCUUUGGUGCGAAGUCUGGGCACAUGCGUAAAACGCACUGAGGAAGCGCGGGGGUUCAGCUGCGGUUUUUACUCUUGCUUCUUCCUACUCCGAUUCCGGGUAGAAAGGGAGAAGUGGGGAGGAAGCGGGCGGUGCAAGAUGCAGCCUGUGGCUAAGGCAGGCGAAGAGCAUCCGCAGGUGCAUGCUUGAGCGGCAAGAAUGGAAGUUGUGGGUCUGUGACAGUGUGACACAUUUAACCAACUUUUGAGAGGGUAGUCAUAAAGCGGGGAUGACCGAAUGCGACCCAAUCUGGAUCAGGUACCCUUUCAACCACUUGUUGGACACGCAAGUUAAUGGCAUCAUCUGAAACAAGCACACUUGCAUCGUUCUUGGAAUAUAGUCAAAGAAUUCCCGCAUCCAGGGAGACUCGGCAUGUCUUCCAGAAGGAUUUGUGUGUCUACAUCAUUUCCAGAAAUAACUGUUGUGAACUAAGCAGGGUAGAAAUUAAGCCAGGUGGUCCUUCUAAUUUUAAGGAUUAAGACCCUAAGUAAUAAAUAUCUUGAUUCUACACAUUUUUUGGUUCUUCUUUGAUGAUCACACUGAUUACACUGAUUAUCAGUGUCAAGAGAUCAGGAUCCUGUGAUAAUCACACGCAGUUUUCUGAACAGCAGAAAGUCUUGAACACAACCAAAAUCACUGAAGAAAUCUUAAUACCUGUAAUGUUAUUCUUGAUCACCCAUAAUCUCAAUAGUUUUAAUGGCUCAAAACCACAAAUUACAAGGUGGGGGGGGGGUCGAAAAACUCCAGGAUCACACAAGUCAAUUUUUCCUGAAGCUAGCAACAUGGAAAAGAAUGGGGCCUUCUUAGUGAAUCAGAUCCAUGACAAUUAGUUGGAUCAGGUCCAAAAGAUGCUGAAAUUCCCUCCCUAUGGAAACCUGUGUUCAUAAUGAUAGUUUACUAAAAGAGGGAGCCAACCUGCACUUCUUGUUUUAUGCAGGUGAGGCUGUGAGAAAACUUUAAGUCACCUUUCCCCAGUCUGGUGCCUUCCAUGCUGGCUGGGUAUGGCAGGAUUUGAAGUCCAACCCAUCUGGUCAGAGCAGGCUGCUGUAAGUGUCCAAGUUUCUUUGAGGCAGUGGGGACAAAGGACCGGAGGAAGGCAUAGGUGAGCAAAUGCUGGGAACCCUAAGAUGCUUUGUCUAUUUUGCUUUCAGUUAACAUCAGCAAAGUGCAUUGUUUGUGCCACAUUUCAUUUCAGAGUUCUUAGGAGUAAAAUGACUAUAGGCAAAGACUUUCAGUAAGCUUGAGGGUCUGCGAGAAAGAUUUUUUAAAAUGAAAAGAAAGUAAGAUUGCUGUCAGAUAUUAUCAGCUGGCAUUUUUUGAAAGCUACCUGUUGCCUGUGAAUGCUUUUACACAGAGAUGUUCACACUCAUGAAAGAACUAGAGCUUAAAUUAUAAUUCUUGGUCAACUAUGAUUUCAGUAGUUUGAAGACUCAAAGCCAUGUAUUACAGAGAAGGGCACCAAAUGUGAAUGCUUUGAUAUUGGUCAAGUUCAUAUGUCGUGACAAUUCACUGUGGUAAUAAGACACAGUGGGCUCAUUGUUAACCAGGCAACUGGCAAUGUCUCUGACAGAUCAUUGGGUUCACAAUGGGGGUGUCACCCCUUUUCUCCAAUUCCUCCACCCCUCAUUCCUCCUGUGGGUAGCCAGUGGAUUUUUCUGCAAUACCAACUUAGUUUUUUAUGUUCUUGUCCAAAAAGAAAAAAAAGGUGUCUCAUCAAUACCCUGCUCUAAAAAGUACCCAGAGUUUUGACAGCUAGCUAGCUGUCAAAAUUUCUUUCCCACCCAAUAGGUUUCUAGGAUGUACUUUUGCACUCUUAGUCUGGGCCUUUGCACACUGUUUAUUUGAGGGAGACCAGCAGCAAGAAGUCACAGCAUUCCCUGGAUUCCUUGAUUGCCACUCAUUCUGUUUUGUUCAGUAUGUCCCAAUUUUGAAGCAUAAAAAGUACUUUAUGAAUUGAGGAGCAAAGCCUAGAGGAUAGGUGAAAUUUUGCUUUUUGAGGGUACAAUGUUAUGUAGAUUUGAAUGGGAAGGAGAUUUUAAAAAAUAAAUGAAAAAAAGCCUUCCUGUCUUGCUGGAACACUAAAGAAUCAACACUGUAACAUUUUGCUGUAGGUCUUCUUUGUUUUGAAUAUUUUUGUGUUAUUUGCAAAAUCUCUUCACUGCUCAUUCCUAAUUCCAGGUGAUUUAUGAUCAAGUCAUAAAGCACCAGCCCCGAUGCAGAUCCUUGGUAAAGCAUCCAUUCUUUCUUGUCCCCAUUGUGAAAACUAAUUAUGUUGGAACAUUUUGCUAUAUGUACCAGAAUGUAUGUACAGGUGGUCCCCAGUUUAUGUAUAUAUUUUACCUUUUUAUGUAUAUAAAACAUGAAACACAAACUGUUUUAAACAUGACACAGCAUUGUUAUUAUGAUAAUAAUAAAGUAAUAAAGAUGACAUCUCACCUUU